CACCAGGAUCCGGCAGUAGUCCCGUUGCACGACGUUCCGAUGGUCCGGGGCAAAAGCGCAGGGGAAGAGCAGCAGCGGUGUGGCCGGUCUUAGGCAGCGAGAAGGUGCAGGCAGGUACCGAGUAGGUCCAGGAAGAAGUCUGGGCGGAAGCAGCAGGUCUCCGGUAGCAGGCCCUGGAGAGUCAGUCAGCAUGCAGGCCUUUUGUAGUGAGGGAUCUGAUGGCAGACACCUUCUCGGAGGGGUGAGCAGCAGCAGAGAGGCCAUCCUUAGGCAGCAAGCAGGUAGAGCACAGAGCGAGUCCGGGAGGGAGAGGCAGGUCGUGUGGAAUCUGUUAUCAGAAUCCUGACUUCAUGGUUGUUGGACCCUCUUUUAUCCUCCUCCUUCCCUGCCUACGUGACAUUUCUGGGCGCUUGGUCAUGUGAGCCCCCCCUGAGAUGGCUGUCUCCCUUGAGAUAAGUCCACACAAAAGACUGUUUCCUGGCCAUUUAGCUGCCACUUACCUCUCUCGUUGCCCCAGGCGUUGUCCAUCUGUUGUCCCUUCAGACGAAGGUUUUCUUAAUCCUUGGUCAGGACUUGCUUGAAUUUGUUCAUCUGUGUCCCUCAGCAAGCUUUGAGGCAACGGCGUAAAAGAAUGACCUCUUACAGUUCCUUUAUCCUGUUGAAAGACAUACUCUUCCUGAUCUUCUGGUGUCUUACUGUCUUGCAUGAAUUAUAAAAGAUUACUGUUUAGAAUCUGCAGUUGCCUCAGCCUGCUCCAAGUCAUGUAGAGUACAUUUCAACAGGAUAAGUCAACUUAAACUUAAAAAGAGAAAGAAGAACACCAAGCAUAAAAAUUCUGUUGCCCACAUUAUUUAUUGUUCAGCUCUCACACUCUGAAGUGAUUCAGACCUGCACUGAGUUUCUUGAAGCCUCUUCUAGAGUUAAUGAAUGCUUUCCAACUUCGUAUGCAAAGGGUAAAUUGCUCUGUGAUCCGGGUGGAGUACAAUGGAAGAGCCUUCCCAGCCUUUGUGUGUGAGUUUCCCUGCAAGGAGAUAAGAGCCCAUGGUGAGCUGAGAUAUACCCACAUCCCUUCCUGGCAGACAGGUCCCCUUUUGGUACUGGAAGGUUGCAAUGAUGUCUCCCUGGAGCCUUCCCUUCGCCAGGCUGAACAACACCAGCUCCAACUCUUUCAGCAUCACAAGUAGCAAGUGAAAAUAUUCUGAUUAAUC
ensembl:lncRNA